GCCCUCGUAAUAAUCGAAGGUGCAACCUGCCCAAUGAUUUUUAAACUAAUAAAAAUAACAUUUUUAUAAGAAAAUUUAAAGGACGCAGUAUCUUGACUGUGGUAAUGUAGCAUAAUCACUCGCCAUUUAAUUGAUGGAUAGUAUGAAUGGUUAAACGAAUUUCACACUGUCUUUAAUAAAAUACUCAUGAAAUUAAAAUAAUAGUUAAGAUGCUAUUUAAAACUGUAAGACGAAAAGACCCUAUAGAGCUUAACUACAUUUUCUUUUAAAAAAUAGAAAUAAAAAAAUUCUUAACAUAAAGAAAAAGGUAGUUUAGUUGGGGCGACUAUCUUCUAUAAAUAACGAAGACAAGCAAUGUUAAUAAUAAAUUUAUUGUAUAAUACAUCAAUUUAACAAUUAUGAAAAUAGGCUAUAAUGACCCAUUAAGAUUAAGUAAUAAACUUAAUGAUCAAUAAAUAAAAGCUACCUUAGGGAUAACAGGAUAAUUUUGUUUUAGAGAUCAAAUCGAAAACAAAGUUUGUCACCUCUAUGUUGAAUUAAGAUAUCCUGAUAGUGCAGAAGCCAUCAAAGGUAGGUCUGUUCGACCUUUAAAAUCUU
rnacentral:rRNA from 1 species